rnacentral:lncRNA from 1 species
UAGUGGUUCCCUUAAUUAGAUACAGAAGAACGACCCGUGAUCGUUCUCUUUGUGGUCUGCAAUGUUCAGUAAGAAGACGAAAUUCGUGAAAUUGUAAGGAGCAAAAGAGGCAUUCAGGAAGAAGGAACGACAAAAUAACUAUAUAGGUUCACAUUUAAUUUAUGUCUUGAUUGCCUGCUCCACGAGUUAGGAACAAUUUUCCAAAUAUGAAAUACAACAGCUGCAGAACUACAUGUUAGAGAAGAUUUUAUAUCACAGUAUGUAAUGUAAUAAUUUGCAAUUUUCACUUGUGUCAUUUUCCUCUUGUCCUUUCUAUAUAUGGCAUACAGUGCUUUUUUGUAUAUAAUAUCGAAAUGACAAGUAAAACCUUAUCACAACCAUCACUGAUGGAAAAUGGUGGUUUAGUUAUUAUAUUUGGAAGGCGGAAGUGACUAUUGGUAAAUGGUGUUAUACCUCUAAAACCGUAGUGCUAGUCUAUAUAUGCACCAUUAUGCGUGUUAAAAUGACAGGCUUUUCAUUAUAAUAGAGACAGACUACGGUACAUACAAAAAGAUUAAUCUCUGCAUCGAUGGCAUUUUUAGGUUAUGAACUAAGGGAAUUAAUCUGUUUUGCGAGAAUUCCCAGCAACGAGCGACAUAAGUCGUGGUUGCUAAAAAUUUGCUUCCCAAAGGAGAAUCUAUAAGUCUCCUAACUAGUAUUUUUGAAUUAAAUACUUCAUUAGUAUCAAAGCUAUAAGGUUUUAGCUAUUUGAAUAACCCUAAAUGGAAAUUGCAAUAUUUCAUGUCUGUAAAUGCAUAUUUCUGUAUGAAACCUUAGGAAUUUUGUAGACCUCAUUGUGAGCUUUUGCAUCGAUAUGUGGGUAAUAUUUUUGGCCCUAUAAUUGGUGAGAUACUGAAUUUUAAAGUUUUAGGGUUUAAUUAUCACAAAUUAAACUUCAAAAAUUCAAUAAUCCUUUUUUCGUGAAAUUUUUGUGCAAAUUAUGUUGGGUUCAGUUACCCGCAUAUUUUUGAGCAAAACUAUAUAAUCAAUUGUGAUUACGAUCGAACAUUUGGGUCAGAUUUUAAAGAAAAUCAUUAGCGUUUGUUCAAAAUAAAAAUAAUCAAUUCUUUAUCAUAUCAAUUUUUGAACGGGUUUAUUUGGAUUUGAUGGUCUAAAACAAUCCUAAAAUACAAGAAAAAUAUUUACUAGUGUUAUAAUUGAAGAGACUUGGCUGAAAAAUACGUUAUUUGGUUGGAAACUCGAACCAACCCUUAAUGAACCCACCCAAUGAUUUUCUUUCAAUUCGCGGUAAGAUUUCGAUGGUUUCUUGAACAAUUUGUGCUAGAAUUCAAUCCUAAAAUAUGUUUAGGCAAAAUAUUAUGCUUUGAUUAGAUCAAAAUGACCAAAAUUGAGAAAAAAUAAAAAACGAGUCGCGCUGGACCCAUUUUGAAGCUAUCUGGAUUGUAAUUAUUGAACAUGUAUUAAUUAUUUUGUAUAACAUUUGGAUAGUUUCGGAAUGUUCGGCAUCGAAUUGAGAAUUUAACGCGACGUGGUGAUCGGAAAGUGGACUUUGAGACAAGGUAAGUCUCUUGUCUAAUCUUGUGAGGGGGAAAUUACCCCAUAGGUGAUUAAAUUAAUAAAUAUUGCUAAUUGUGGGGGCUACGUACGCACAAGGUGACGAGAGUCCGUGCGUAGCUACUAUUUAUGCUAAAGUUCGGGUAGUUUAGGACUUAAAUCAUAAAUUACUUGUGUAAAUUGUAUUCUUUAUUUAAUUAGAUUAUGUUAUAUAUAUUGGGAAUUGUUAGAAAAUAUAAUAAAGAUGGAAAUCUCAUAUACUUAACUUUUUUUUUAAAAUUAAUUAAUUGUUAAAAGAAAUUGUUCAUUCUCUCGAAUUUAUCUUAUAAUAAAUAUACUCUCCUUCCAAAGGUACAUAAGAAAAUGUCCUCCUUUAUUGUGGAGCGGGCCGAACGCCUAGGCAGGAUAGAUGCAUCUAUGGAUCGUGCCGCACGUCACUCGGCAGUGUACACGACACUCUGGAUCGGGCCGUACGACCUCGGCAGAAAUCGUGCCUAAUAAUAAUAAUUGCACGAUACUUGAUAUGUAAUUGCAGCUUGUGAAUUUAAUUAAUAGAUUGAGAAUUGUUGCAUUUCAAGGAAUUUAAUUAAUAUAUUGGUAAUUAUUGCAUUUGAAGGAAUUUAAUUACUUCUUCUGGUUUAAUAAAAUUAUUGUUAGCUCUGUGAAUCAUGUUGAUAAAAAUAUUUCUAUUUUUAUGUUACUUAUUAUUAUUGACCUUUAGUGAGUGUCAAAGUCGAUCAUCUCGUCUCUACCUCUUCGAGAUUAGCCUUGAUACUUACUAGGUACACGUUAUUUUUUGUACUCAUGCUGCACUUGCUGCACAUUUUAUUGUGCAGAUACAUAUAUGUCUAGCGGCCUUCUGGGCACAGAGGUGCGGCUAAAAUUGUGAGGACAUAGGUGAUCUGCAUUCUGUAUUACGAUCCACAGCCAUCAGAGUCUCCUUCAGAGUUAUUUAUAUUUUUCCUGUCUAAUUUGUAUUCUAGACAGAUGUUGUAUUUCUGACCCAUUGAGUGAAGAAGAUGACCAACCUUGGAUGCUAGCAAAGCCCACUCUCGGCAGAAACUUAUGGUGGAGAGUACCCCCCCCCCCCCCCGGCCAUUUUCUAUGAAUUGUUUUUGCUCGUACUUAAUUAUCUGAUUUUCUUAUAAUUUUUUAUACUGAAAUUAUUUUUCUUUUAAUUAAUAUUGUUCUGAAAAUAUUAAUUAUUUUUGGAGGUAUUUUUCAAGAAUAAAAAAUUUGUAAAAAAUAUUAAUUGAUUCAAAAAGCGUUUUUAUGUGACUAAUUCUCCCUAUAAGUAUAUGAAAAUAUAUAUCAUAUUUUUAAAGUAAAAUUAGGCAUAAAUAUUAAUUUUCUCAUUGAUUUGUUCUUGGAAAGAUAUGAAAAUUAAUUUUAAGAUCAAAUAAAAUUAUUCCAUUAAUAUAUAAGUGUAUAUAAAAUGAGAUCUAAAUUUGUUUAUUUGGUGUAUAUUAUGUGCAUAUACCACUUGUUUAAUUGAGAAGCCCCGGCAAAGAGAAAAGUCAGGAUAAUGCGCACUCUGCCUGCCAAGCGGGCGGCAGGAGCAGCGGGCAAUUGCUUGGUAAGAGAACAACCCAGUGAAUAAUGUUAGUUAAAAUAUUUUUAUUUGGUGACUUGGCUUUAGUUGAUAUGUUUAAUUUUCAUUUAACAUAUAUCCAUAUACGAUGAUUGAGAACGUAGUAAACUUUUGAAUCUAGGACUUAUGCUUGUGCUUAUAAGUCUUUUCAAUUUGCUAAAGUUACCUUUAUGUGUAUGCAAAACCAUUAAAUUGCGAGCUUUAAUUCUGAGUGUGAAACUUUAUUUAUAUAAACGCAAGUCAUAAUACACCAUAUGAAAACUACUUAUGACAUCAAAUCACCAAAUUGAAGGCAAAUGCUCAAAACGAUGGUCGGGACAUUACAACUCUGUUCCCAUCGAAAAGAAAAAGAUGUUGCUUUUAUCUUAUUGAAAGAAAUAUUGUGUUCUGCUCUGUUGAUGACUAAUUUUGAUCCUCAUAUUAAAAAUUAAUUUAUUUACACUUAUUAAUUUCCAAUAAAUAUAUUAAAGAUAUUUUCUGAUUAAUAAUACCUAUAAUUAAGUAAUUAAUGGUGUCUAAUUAAUAAUUUAGUAUUAUAAUUAUAAAUAUAUCUGUAACGACCCAGCCGGUCGUUUUGAGAGUAAUAGAGGUUUCGUUUUGGUUUUUGGAGUUUUUUGGGAUACUUAGUCCCUAAAUAGAGGUUUAAGCCUUAGGAUUUGGACCGUAGUCAAAACUGUGUGAAGACGACUCUGUNNNNNNNNNNNNNNNNNNNNNNNNNNNNNNNNNNNNNNNNNNNNNNNNNNNNNNNNNNNNNNNNNNNNNNNNNNNNNNNNNNNNNNNNNNNNNNNNNNNNNNNNNNNNNNNNNNNNNNNNNNNNNNNNNNNNNNNNNNNNNNNNNNNNNNNNNNNNNNNNNNNNNNNNNNNNNNNNNNNNNNNNNNNNNNNNNNNNNNNNNNNNNNNNNNNNNNNNNNNNNNNNNNNNNNNNNNNNNNNNNNNNNNNNNNNNNNNNNNNNNNNNNNNNNNNNNNNNNNNNNNNNNNNNNNNNNNNNNNNNNNNNNNNNNNNNNNNNNNNNNNNNNNNNNNNNNNNNNNNNNNNNNNNNNNNNNNNNNNNNNNNNNNNNNNNNNNNNNAAGUCGAAUUUUUGGAGAUUUUGACCGGUAGUGGACUUUUUGAUAUCGGUGUCGGAUUCCGAUUCCGAAAGAUGGAGUAGGCCCAUAAAGUUGAAUAUGCCUUGUGUGCAAAAUUUUGGGGUCAAUCGGACGUGGUUUGGUUGGUUUCGGUAUCGGUUGUCAAAUUCGGAAGUUUCAAGUACUUUAGGUUUGAAACGGAGGAUGAUUUGUGAUUUUAGCGUUGUUUGAUGUGGUUUGAGGGCUCAACUAAGUUAUUAUGGUAUUUUAGGAUUGGUUGGUAUGUUUGGUCGAGGUCCCGGGGGCCUCGGGUGAGUUUCGGGUGCUUAACGGGUGGAAGCUUGGACUUAGAAGAAUUCUGAAGUUGCUGGUUCUGGUGUUUUCGCACCUGCGGUGAGAAGUCCGCAGGUGCGGCCCCGUAGAAGCGAGGCUGGGAUCACAGGUGCGCCUUUAGGCCAGGGAGUCAGUGGUCGCAGAUGCGACGAGUAGACGCAGAAGCGCAUCCACAGAUGCGGACUUUGGCGCGCAGGUGCGGACUCUGGAGUUUAAUGAAAAACUCGCAGGUGCGGCGUCCUAGCCGCAGAAGAGAGAGUUUCGAGGGCUUGAUUCAUUUCUCCAUUUUUGGACUUGGGAGCUCGGAAAUUGGCGAUUCUUUGAGGGAUUUUGAGAGAGAGCUUUGGGGUAACGAUUCCUAACUCGUUUUUGGUUGUAUUUCAUUAAUCUAUAGUUGUUUUCUCCAUUUAUUUUUGGAUUGGGAUUGAAAAGUUGGGAAAAUAGGGAAAAAGUUCCCUAACCGAAUUUCUGAGUUUUCAUUGGGAUUUAGACAUCGGAUUUGGUUAAUUUUGGUACGAGUGAUCUCGUGAGUGAAUGAGUGUUCAUAUUUGGUAACUUUUACCCGAUUCCGAGACGUGGGCCCAGGUCGAAGUUUUAGGACGGAUUUCGGAAUUCUUAUUAAAAUUUUGAUUUCAUUAAUUAUAUUAGUUUAUUAUAGUUGUAUUUAUGAUAUGUAAUUAUUUUUAGUUAGAUUUGGGCCAUUCGGAGUCAGAUAUUCGUGGAAAAGGCAUUGUUACCGAUUGAUUGAGCUUGGUUCGAGGUAAGUGGCUUGCCUAACUUUGUGUGGGGGAAAUCUCCUUAAGAUUUGGAACUAUUGUGAUAUGUGAGCGUCGUGUACGUGAGGUGACGAGUACGUACACGGGCUAGUUGUGAAAAAAAAUCGAUUGUCUUACUGAGCAGCAACCUGUUUUCCUUUUAUUUUGAGUUAUACUAUUUUAAUGAGUAUUAAUCUAUUUUCAUUCUUAAUUGAGUCAUUCCAAUAUGUGUAGCUAUCAUGUUUAGUCUAAUACAGCAUGUCUACGUGUCUUAACUGCUUAUGUGAACUGUGUGCAGCAUGCUUAGUGAAUUUUCUGCUUCUUCCUUGACUGGUGCUUAGUCUAAAUCGUAAGAUUUUGUGAUGUAGUUGUAUUUCUAUUGUUUGCGCUGCAUAUUUACUUUGGGACUAUGGAACGGUAUUCCGAGAGAUCCUCUUGUACUUCAUAUUUACUUUGGGACUACGAAACGGUAUUCCGGGAGAUCCCCCUGUACUGCAUAUUUACUUUGGGACUACGGAACGGUAUUCCGGGAGAUCCCCUUGUACUGCAUAUUUAUUUUGGGACUACAGAACGGUAUUCCGAGAGAUCCCCCUGUAUUGCAUAUUUAUUUUGGGACUACGGAACGGUAUUCCAAGAGAUCCCCCUGUCUUGCAUAUUUACUUUGGAACUACGGAACAGUAUUCCAGGAGAUCCCCUACACAUUUACGUUUGAAACUAUGAGACGGUAUCUCGGGAGAUCCCCUGUUGUAUUUUUGUGUAUUGAGCUGUUACCUUCUAUAAAUUCUUUCUUGUUAAAUUUCAGUCUUUAUUUUACUACAAUAUUUCAUUUUUGCCUUGCUUUAUUAUCAUAUUCCAGUAGGGCCCGGACCUGACCUCGUCACUACUCUACCGAAGUUAGACUUGGCACUUAUUGUGUACUGAUUAUGGUGUACUCAUGCUACUCUUCUGCACAUAUUUUGUGUGUAGAUCCAGGUACUUCUUAUCAGCCCCGCUACUAGCUGAGAGUGCUUGCUGCUGUACGGAGAUUUCAAGGUAUAUCUGCCGCGUCCGCAAACCUCGGAGUCCUCCUCUAUUCCCUCCUAUGUCAUUUACCUUCCUUACUUCUGUUAUUAGACUCUGGUGUAUAGAGAUACUAGUUUUCUUCUGUAGCUUGUGACUUACGAUGUUCCGAGUUUUGGGAUUACUGUGUAUUUUGAACAGCUAGUUGUUUAAUUCAUGUUUUCAUUUCAUUAUUUCGCAAAUGUUAGGCUUACCUAAUCAUAGAGAUUAGGUGCCGUCACGAUGUCAUACGGAGGAGAAAUUGGGUCAUGACAAUAUCACUCUUACUAUCCUUUAAACAAUUAAAAUAACUUUUACAUAGGUUUAUAAUUAAUUUAAUAAGGUUACAUCUUAAUAUUGGUAAAAUAGCCUACUAUUUCAAAAUAAACCCUUAAUUAGUACCUCAAAUAGAAAACAGGAUAUUUAGUAAUUAAUUAGCUAAUUAUAGUAAUUAGCAAUGUAUUUGAUAAUUUUAAUUUAUAUUAUAUUUUAUUAAAAUUAUUUAAGUUUAAUUAAAUUAAUUAUAAAAGGAGUUAAAGACCGAAAUGGCUACAAUUGAAAAUACCUAAUUAAAUACAAUUUGGCUAUCUAUUAAAUCAUUUUUAGCCCAAUACCCAAGCCUAAACAAAUCUGAUCCAGUAAAAAACCCAUCUUAUCCACCUUGGCAAUCCGGUCCACUCUCAAUGAACCAGUCCGUACUUUCCACGUCGCCCCUUCCACACCACUCACAAAAGAAGCACAAUCAAUCUCAGCCGCCUAUCCCUCAUAUCAACGGCCCGUGUUUAUCCUCGUUUUCCCCUUUAUUUUUAAUACUCCAUCAGAUUCAACCUUAACCGUCCAAAUCCAAUAAUCCAACGGUUAUCAUAUUACACUAAUUUAAUUAUUUAAUCCCUGAUUUAUCAGCGCCGUUGAUCUAAAGAUCCAAUGGCCCAGAUCUCUCCAACCUGUUUAAACCCCUAGAGACAACCCAAUCCUCUCAAACCUUAAUCAUUCGUCUCCCAGACUCGGCCGCCCCCUUUCCCCCUUCUCUCUCAUUUUCUCUCAACUCACCAUACCCCAUCAAUCAAAGAACCUUGCACAAAUUAGUGCAAGGUCAUGAAUCAUGACCAGAAAUCAUCCCCUUUGUCCUAUUUAUCCACGAUUCUCGCCGAAUGUUUGCUCAUUUCAUUUUGGAGAUUAGAAUCCCCAAAUCCAAAACCCAAAAAAAAAAA